AAGCAGGCUGGGAGGUGGCCAUCGGACUCUUCCUUUGUGCAGAUCUCUCUGCACAGGGUGCUAUGCACGGAGCUUUGUUUCUUGAUGGGAGGACAACCACAGCUAUUAUGUGUCCCGUCUCUAUGGCCCCAGCGAGCCCCGCAGCCGGGAACUGUGGGUGGAUGUGGCUGAGGCCAACCGGAGCCAAGUGAAGAUCCACACAAUACUCUCCAACACCCACCGGCAGGCUUCGAGAGUGGUCUUGUCCUUUGAUUUCCCUUUCUACGGGCAUCCUCUGCGGCAGAUCACCAUAGCAACUGGAGGCUUCAUCUUCAUGGGGGACGUGAUCCAUCGGAUGCUCACAGCUACUCAGUAUGUGGCACCCCUGAUGGCCAACUUCAACCCUGGCUACUCGGACAACUCCACAGUUGUUUACUUUGACAAUGGGACAGUCUUUGUGGUUCAGUGGGACCAUGUCUAUCUCCAAGGCUGGGAAGACAAGGGCAGUUUCACCUUCCAGGCAGCUCUGCACCGUGACGGCCGCAUUGUCUUCGGCUAUAAAGAG
rnacentral:sRNA from 1 species